UUUUCUUACCUCCAGAUUGCAAGAGAAGUUUUGGAUGCUGCUGCUCGGAUUGUAAGACCUGGAAUUACUACUGAUGAAAUUGAUGCUGUUGUUCAUGAAGCAACUAUUGCUGCUGGAGGAUAUCCAUCUCCUUUAAAUUAUCAUUUCUUUCCAAAGUCUUGCUGCACGUCAGUAAAUGAAGUUAUCUGCCAUGGGAUUCCUGAUGCAAGGUAUGUUGUGAACUCAAGC